GACGAAGGGGGCUAGCGUUGUUCGGAAUUACUGGGCGUAAAGCGAGUGUAGGUGGUUGUCCAAGUUGGAUGCGAAAGCCUUGAGCUCAACUCAAGAAAUGCAUUCAGGACUGGGCGGCUAGAGGACCGGAGAGGAUAGUGGAAUUCCCAGUGUAGUGGUGAAAUACGUAGAGAUUGGGAAGAACACCAGUGGCGAAGGCGGCUAUCUGGACGGUUUCUGACACUAAGACUCGAAAGCGUGGGGAGCAAACAGG
rnacentral:rRNA from 1 species